ensembl:lncRNA novel transcript
ACAGCUGUGCUCCCGCUCGUUGAAAAAAAGAUGCCAAAAGUGUAGAAUUUGACCACAAACAACCGAGCUUCACAACGGAGUGUGGCUUGUGUGCCAGGCCCUGUGCUGGGGGUGCAAAAGGCCCCCCGUGUCCAGCCUGGCAGCAGUGACUUCGGGGUCCCUCCUGCAAGCUUGGCUACAGGGCAGAAGAAGCCAUCAGAUAUGCAUUUGUCUCCGGUGAGCAGAGGGAACACCGAGUUCUGUCCUUUUCCCACACCUAGGAAGACAAGCUAUCAAUUUACGUUGCCAGGCUGAAAUUCAACAGAACUGUUUUAGGGUUUUGCCGUCCACAAGGAAUUUCCUUGUGGGAAAUUGUGAUGGAGGGCCUGGCCUCACACGUGCCUGGUAGCAGGAUGGCAACCCGAUGGCGACUUCAGGCUUCACACCCACAGACGACCGUAAUCAGAGAAAGUAAA